AUUGAACGCUGGCGGCAGGCCUAACACAUGCAAGUCGAGCGGAUGAAGGGAGCUUGCUCCCGGAUUCAGCGGCGGACGGGUGAGUAAUGCCUAGGAAUCUGCCUGGUAGUGGGGGAUAACGUCCGGAAACGGGCGCUAAUACCGCAUACGUCCUGAGGGAGAAAGUGGGGGAUCUUCGGACCUCACGCUAUCAGAUGAGCCUAGGUCGGAUUAGCUAGUUGGUGGGGUAAAGGCCUACCAAGGCGACGAUCCGUAACUGGUCUGAGAGGAUGAUCAGUCACUCUGGAACUGAGACACGGUCCAGACUCCUACGGGAGGCAGCAGUGGGGAAUAUUGGACAAUGGGCGAAAGCCUGAUCCAGCCAUGCCGCGUGUGUGAAGAAGGUCUUCGGAUUGUAAAGCACUUUAAGUUGGGAGGAAGGGCAGUAAGUUAAUACCUUGCUGUUUUGACGUUACCAACAGAAUAAGCACCGGCUAACUUCGUG
rnacentral:rRNA from 1 species